rnacentral:lncRNA from 1 species
UUAAAUAACAUUAUUUGCACUUUCUAAUAAAACUUAAUAUUACUAAAAUAUUCUUGUAGUAAUUUACUACAAAUGACUACUUAGUUUAAUUAAACCAAAUGUAAUCAUUCUUAACCGUUAACACUCAUUUUAUAUAAAUGGUGGCUUAUCUUGAUAAAAUAGAGAUACUACCAAGAGCGAUCAAUUCAAGAAUUCAAUAAUAAAUCUAAAAGAUUUCAAAUUAGUUUUCUGUAUAAAAAUUUAAAAAUAAAAAAUUAAAUAUUAACCGUAUACAUGCAAAUGUAAUAAAAUACUAUAAAAUAUUGAGCACAUAUCAACUUAGCACUGGGUUCUGACUGGGUCCAGAACCCAGUAAUAGAACCCAAUAAAAUGAGAAACAGGAUUAUUGUUAAGGAACCAAGAGAGAGGCUGAGUUAUUAACAUGAUGAAGCUUUUAGGUAAAGCGAUCUGUAUUAAGCUUUUAUCUCUAGCUACAAAGAUGCAGGUUUGUUCCGAAUGACCGUACUUGUCGGAUAUGAUCGAUGCACUUUCCAAAAGUGAAUUUAUGCUGCGUUUACUUUUUGGAUUGGAGUGGGAAUUCUGAGGAGUGGGAAUCCUUGGAUUAGGAGUGUGGAGUGAGAGUGAGAGUAGGGUGUUUACUUAGACUAAAUGAAAGUAUGGAUUGUCAAUCAAAAUUCUAAUUAUUUGUUUA